GCACUGCUGAGGAGUCCUAUAAAAGGACGAAAUGGCCGUCCAGUGC
rnacentral:hammerhead_ribozyme from 1 species